UACGUUCCCGGGCUUGUACACACCGCCCGUCAAGUCACGAAAGUCGGUAACACCCGAAGCCGGUGGCCCAACUCGUAAGAGGGGGAGCCGUCGAAGGUGGGACUGGCGAUUGGGACU
rnacentral:rRNA from 1 species